GCCACAGCAUGCUCAAGCAUCGGUUCCCGUACGAUCACCGAAGUUAAGCGAUGUCGAACCUGGUCAGAACCUGAAUGGGUGACGUAUUGGGGAUAAUAGGUGCUGUAAGC